GUCGAUGAAACGGCUUUUUGGUGUCCGGCUCGUUCCUGAAUCGGCGAAUCCAACGAGUUCUCCGAGUACGAGGUCUUCGACAGGAAUGAUGAGGCUCCUCGGGACCCUCGCCAACGGUGAAGUGCACCACGCUGCUUUCCGGUGGUGUAUCCUUGCCGGUUUCGCUGCUCGAAGAGUCCGGCGGUACCGACGACUCCUUCCACGUCAGGCUGUCCAGGGUGCCUGUAGAUCAGGAGUCUUAUGAAUUCUUUAUGGUUCAUCGACAUCUUAGCAGCACCGAUGAAAGUUUAAGCGGUGGUAAUCGCUUAGUCUUUUGUAAUUCUUUUACGUGUCUGGUGACACUCGAAUUAAUUGGAUAAAUUCAGGGGUUAAUGUUAAAUUCCACUUCCAUGCAAAUUCAAAGACAUGGACAAAGAAAAAGAAAUUCAAUGAACAAUGUAUUCAUUAUUUAUAUUACACGAUUACAGGUACAGACUCCUUUCCGCUGUUCCCGAAGAAAUUAUUAUAUUUUCUUCGUUUUAAGUUCGUUUCCAGUUGUAUAAUAACUUUGCAUGCAAUUUUGAUUCCAUACUUUACCAGUUAAGAAAACCGUAGCUUGCACUUUUUAUAUUUAAAUGCAAGAUCCGUCGAUAAAACUAACUUGUCGCGUUGUUCCAUAUUCGAAACGACAGAGUCAGAUGAACAGAAUAGACAAAGAAGAAAGUUCAUUCUUUAUUGCUUCAACUAGAUAAAAGAUGGUUUUCGUUACGUUUCUUCGAUUGCUCUCCUCUCAACUUGAUUAUGUCAAUGUAGCUUGUUGAUCUCGCCAACGCAAUCGCAAGAUGAAAUCAUACCACUGGCGCAUCUUGAUUAAAGUAAAUUACUUAAAAGUAUACAAACAAUUUUACAUAGAAAUUAUACAACGUUACAAGUAAUUAAGGUAACUUUGGCUUGCGACGAAUACAAAGGAUCGCGUGUUAUAUUUUAAUAUUGCAAUCAAACAACAUUUGUUAUUUAAACAGUUUAUGAAUUAGCUUCCCGGUCGAUAGUGUUAAGAAAAGGUAUUUGCUUUUGAAUAUGAAAUGUAAAACAUUUAUGUUAAUUAAAUGAUGGCUAUUCGAUCAAAUUACAAAUUAUUCUGAGCAAAUUAGUCUCGUGUGAACAGAAUGUAUACAUAUAUCACCGUCAUAUACUUCAUAUGCGUUUGGUAUGCUCGAGUUUAUUAUAGGAUAGAAAUUAAUGCGCUCAAGAAUGCGCUGCUGUUACCUGAAUGAUGUACUCGGAUAUCAAAUACACUCGCAUCUAAUUUUAAUUGAAUCUAAUAUUAAACAUGACGCGCGUUGUGUCUGAAAUCCCCUGAGAAAUAGAAAUCGCUUCUUGGCAUCGUUUAUUGCAAGAUACCAGUCUCAGCAAAGCUAAAAAUUCCGUUACUAUUCGAGGCAUUUAUUGAACUACUAUCGGGAUCGAUGAUUUUCGAUCGUUCAAGAUCAUAUCCUCCACCGCAAUCAAUUCGUACAAGGAGAUCCUUUGUCAUUUUACUCGACACAAUUUAUUGUCUUGUCUUUCCUUUUUCUUUAAUUCUUUAUACAAGAUAUUUCUGUAUGUAUGAAUGAAUCUGAAAUCAUUUGGCAAUCAGUCAGUUUGCUUCAUGAGAGAACCGAAUAAUUCGUAACGCUUUUGCUUUGGUUUUCAACUGUCCUAAAGGGACAAUUUAUAAUUAUAUAUAUCAUGUAUAAUAAUAAUAAUAAUAAUAAUAUAACAGGUGAUCGAUAAUCGGCACUUAUUGUUAAAUAAAGUGAUAAUAUUAUUAUCACA